GAUUGUUACAGAACUGUCAGGCUUCUCUAACCACGCCAGUCAAGGAAAAACAGUGGCCGUGAUUCCAGAUUGUAACAGACUGACCAAAGGAAUCUGGAUCUGGCUGCAUUUCCCAGAGACCGUUUGAGGUUCAGUACUAGCACAGCGUAACGCAGCCGUGCAGCCUGAUGGCUCUGAGCCGGGACCGCCCAGCACUGGCAGCAGGACACUGCGCCUGAGCACUCAAUUGUAAGGACCCUGGCAUCCAUGGAAGUCAAGCAACUAAGAUGAACAGAGAAGCUAAUCCAGCCAGGUUUAUCAUCUAACUGCAGAUUUCACGGCUUUUCCAUCACUAAACAUUGAGAACUGGAACAAUCCGACCAGUAUCAAGUGUAAAGACAGCACAAGCCUCGAAAGUGAGGAAUUUGGCAUUACUGUAAAGUAAAACUGUAGGCAGAAGAGGUGGAACUAUGGCUUUGGCAACUGAAUUUACAAUUUAAGUAUAAUUAAAGGUCACUGGGGGAGCACAACGAAGGAAAGACCAAAAAAAAUUCACGAACCACAUGUCAGUCACUGAGGUCUCAAUGCACUCAAGAUGACAAACCAGAGGAUUUAAUUACACGCUGCCUCUUCUACAGAAACACAACUGUCAUUAAAGGAGAGCGAUGUCUAUAAUCUUACAAGAUUCUCAAAACAUGGGUCACAGUCUAUGAAACAUGCAAGGACCAUUCACAGCUGCAUUCAAUACUGGUAGUAAUUCGGAUAAACUGGUAAACAGCUUUAAAGCUGUUACCCAUCAUGCAGAAGAGCAAAGCAAAUGUAUUUGUACCACGCAUGUAUCUCAGAUGUACGAUGAGCAUCUAUAUACAGCAAAGCUAGAUUCUGUACACAGAUCUGGGAGCCAUUAAACCAUAUAAAUACAGCCUGGAAGCAUGUUCAUAAUUCACACUCAGUGGGUACCAUCCUGCAGCCUAAACACCGAUGUGAAUGGCAAAAGCUGUUCUGCUUCCACCUCGGACCAUGUUAAAAGAUGCAGCGGUACGACAGCAUGAGACCUUCUAACACACGGUGUUCACAUCAAAGAUUCAUAUCUAUUCUGGUUCCUUGAGUUUAUCAUAAAACCAGCAAUGCUGUCACAGAGUGACAAUGACUUCAACCCAGAGAUAUCAGAGGUUGCAAGAGAAAUAAAUCCCUUGAUGACUUAGAGCGUUCAGAGAUUGCUGCAUUUCUACAUUGCUACUCAGACAACUUGCUGGAACAGUCAUUCUCAAGACUUUCUCAAUUUUGGAAGACAGUGGAGGCAGAAGAGCAGAAAAACAGUGGUUCUUUCUGCUUGCUGUCAUUUCCUGCACGUCCUGGGGAAAACUGUCACAGCCAAUGGCAGAAAUCAACAGAACUGCAAGAGAAAACUUUCGAGAGAGAACCAACUUUGACACCUCACAGAUCUUCUCGUCUCUUCUACAGCUUGGCCUUAAACAAGGAGAAUUUCACACUAUUUCAAAAUUGAAAGCAGACAUGUAAGAAUAUUACUUCUAGGAUGCUUUUCAAAUCAUUUAAGCCUGUGGGAUUUUUUGGUUUGUUUCUCAAUAAUAAUAAAUCAGAACUAGGGACUGUGGCAAUCCCAAAUAGCAGCUCAGUACGUUCUUCCUUCAGUACUGAUAAUGGAGUGAUCAAACUCAAAAUUUGGGUGACCACCAGAAGAAAGUCACAAGCUCCUGCUCUGCAACAGCGGCACGCACAAGUUAGCAGGACUGCAUCACUGGAGGACAUUGCCCUGCCCAAGACUAAGAUGGAAAGGUUUAACCAAUUUGUUUCCAAGAAGUGUUAAACAAACAGUAUCACAGGUUUUUCAGCUCCCCUAUCAGAAUUAUUUAAUGAGACAACACAUGACUUAAACAUGAAAAAUUCUUUCACCGAGCUAGAGCAGCUUAAAGAAAAAGCUUCCUUCUGCAAUCUAUUUGAAAACAUUAGGCAAUCAUCUUUAGCUUAAGCCUGAAAUCCAAAGACAGUCUUAGUGGCCAGACAAGAAAACAAGCACACAAAUAGCGAGCUAAGAAAUACAGAGUAUCAAAUGACAUGGAAAAUAUAUCGACUUUUAUAAACAUUGUUUACAUUUGAAGAAAAAAAUAAGGAUUUCCUAUUUAGUUGGAAUUUUAAACAGUUUAUAGAACUGCGCUCACACCUUGGAAAAGAUGACUGCAUUACUAAGAAGUGACCAUGAGUAAUUUACGCUUCUCCUCCACGAACCUGCCUGUAGCUUUAAUGCUGAAUGCACCGGGCAGACGAUACAUUACUCAUAAGCUAAGUAUUGGGAUGCCGGUUUUAAGCCAAGUUACUAGGAGAUGUCCAAGAAAUGAGGCACUUAACACGUGGGAUACUUCCUUCUUACUUCUUCAGAGUAUUUGCACACUACAGACUAAAUUAAAGAGAUAUCUCCUGCAAAUACCCACUCCAAACAAGAACGCUGUCUCGGUUUACAGCCCGCAGAUAACUCCUACACCCCCCACUUCCUCAGACAGCUCAGUGAUAGCGACAAUGCAUUUGCACAGAUCUGCAAAGCUUUUCCAUGCUGCACUUCCCAGCAUUUAACCGGUAGUUUUGCCUUUUCCUUAUCUGCUAUCUUCAACAAGCUCAAAGUGCAAUUGCGUGAAAGUAAAGAUAACGCUCCGGAGCAGCGGGCAGAGCAAAGGGAAGGUUACCUGUGCGCAACGCACCGUGCCCAUCCGUGAGGCCACAGCCACGCGCCUCCUGCGGGCAGGAGCCACAUCCGCUUCCCAUCUAGACCACGCACAGCAGCCCCCAGCCACCCAGGCUGCUCUCAUGGCAGUGACCGAGCUCAACCAGCUUUAAGUAAAGCUUUAGCUCUAUUUUAUACGGACUCAAUAUUUAGAAUCAAACAUUAUCAUCGUAUGCAUUACUCCCUCGAGAGUAUAGCAGCUCUCUUCCCUUCUCUCCUUUAUCUAAUAAUGCCUCUAUGGAGAAACAAAGCAUCGUGGCAUUUAAAGGAACAUUAUUAAUUCAGAUCUCUGGAGGACAACUGAACUAUUUUACUGCCCCAGUUUAAUGAGAGGUCAACUCACAGUGCCAGUCAUGAAUGAAAAUAGACUGGAACAAAAGUACAGCAAACAACUUUAAUCAAGAUGGGGGGAAGUUCACAACUGAUUCAUUCUUAUGUAUACGAAUUUAAUGCAGGGCAUUUCCAUCUGCUUCCUCUUUCCACUUCUAGCCUAACUGCAGUCAUGCAUGAAGCCCCAGGUUCCUGAAACACAGUAUCAACUCUAAACAUGCAGAAUUUCAGACAAACUCAAGCAGUGCCCUUCCAUGAGGAACUGCAUGGUUAACAUGAGAAUGCUUGUGAGUUCCAGCAGCUCCAGAAUUCUACACAAUCACCUUCCUGUGGUGCUAAUGACAUUAGGUAAACCAAAAGGUAAGAGCAGAUAAAGAAAAGCCCAGUGCUUCAUCUUAGAUAUUAAGUAAUCAGUAACGUCUACUCCUAUGAGUGUUAGGUUACACGUGUUAGAAACAUCCACCCCAGCAAACAGCACGAUACGUUGCUAUCGUAAAGAUUACUUCAAGCAGCAAUACCCAAUUGUAGCAAUGAUUUAGAUAAACAUGCCUGUAAGGUCACCGAGAUUAGAAAAUACAACUUCUCCUGCUCUGCCCUGAUUUUGUUUCCAGGCCAGACUAAUUAAUUUGUAAUUUUCAAAAAUAUCUUAAGUUAUGAUGUAGACAAGAAGUACUUGCAAGCAGCCAGCACUUGGCAGCUCAUUUUUUAAGUACUGAAAGGAGUUAAGGCCGCUUAAAGGCAGCAGCCAAAUCGGUCCAGAUUUAUUAAGUCACUGUUCAAUAACUGUAUGUUUCUAGGCGCUGCAGAAGACAAUAAGGCAAAAAACAAGCUCCCAUGAAAGUCAUAUGGUUCAAUUAUAGCAAGACUGUUUUAAAUGCAGAAACAAAAGCUUAACUUAAAUGAAGCUACAUCAUUAGUUUAUUUCAUUUAAAGGAAACAAUUAUCAGAACUUCUCUUUCAUUAGCCAGAGCUGGGAUUGUACUGGCUGGUUUUGCAGACACAGUAUAUAGGAAUACUUAAUGUAGCUGCAAUUUUCAGAAGCUAACUCAUUUGGUCAUGCUGUUCAUCCUGAUUAUAGCUACCAGCUUCCAAAACAUUUCAGCUGCAGCCAAAAGAGGCAGCAAAGAUGGCCUGUGACCAAGCGCUGGUUAACGGCUGAGAGCUGGAGGAUCUGCCUCCGUAACUUCAGGUGAAAUACCAAUAUCUGACUUCCCAAAUUCCUAUAAGAAUCCAGCACACACGAUGCUCCCAGCAUUUAAUGUUCAGGACAAUAAAUGUGAGACUAUAAAUGGGCAGAAUAUUCCAAUUCAAAACAAGCAGCAUGAGCGCAAUUCAAAAUCAGGCAAGUAAGAAGGGUCCUCCCAUUGAAACUAAGGUUGUCCAUUCAAGUGUGUAUAUAUAAGAUACGAAGUACCUAUAUGUUUAUUAGGAAAAUACACAGUAUAUUGCGUACUGUCAUGUAUAUUCUGCCGCUAUGUGUUCAUAGAAGAAGACCUGAAGUUAGUGUAUUUGUACAGAUGGUACCCAUAAUUAUCACAACGACGGCCAAAAGACCACAGAUUUCUCGGAGGAGUAUCUUCUAGAGCAGGGCUCAGAGAUCACACCAGCUAAACACAACUAAUGUCUCUGUGCAGUGCAAGUGCUCCUACAUUGGUGUACACCAUUCCUAACACCAAAAAAAAAAAACCUGCUGGCAGAUUUCACUGAAAUACAGCCCAAGCAGUUGAUUUUACUGGAAUGUUAACUCAGGAAGAUAUCUCCGUUUCCAUUAGUUAUGUGCAACUAUGAUAAAGAUUCUCAGCCAGGAGCUUCAGCAGGAAAGCUGCAGAGCACAUUGGGCAUUUUAAAGGGCUGUUCUCACACCAUCUGAACAUUAACUUCUGUCCAUUUAGAGAGCAGCUUAAAACUGAUGAGACUUCAUGUGGCUACUUGAAACAGCUUCUGUUCAACAGUUACUUACACUGAUUUGCCUUAAAGCAAUCUUUACUACGCACACUGAACUGGCAUUUGAUACAUAUAGGCCAAGAUAAAGCACAGUACUAUAACAACAUAAUAAUGUAACUCAUUUCUACAGCAAGCUGAUUACACGUAAUAGGAACAUUAGAAUCCUAAACUUGCCCUUCCCCACUCUCCUCUCCCCCCCCCCAACUUGAUCAAAUGAGAUGUUCUAAUCCUUAAAAAACCAAGAUGUUUGAGAGAUAUGUAACUCCCACUACAAACUGAAAUAUCUGCUUCCCCAGUGGCUUUCAGAACCCUACAAAUCUAUUCAGGAAUUCUAAAUAAUUCGCAACUGGCACUUAAAAAAAGACGAAGAAGUCCAUAACCAGGAACUUUAAAAUUCUCUUUAUAAGGGCCAUCACCUCAUACUGAAGAACUGUAAAAGCACAGAAAAUGAAGGAUGAAAAAAACCCAUUAUUCAUUAACAGAGAGCAAAAUAAAACAGCCUGAAAACCUCUGAAGAGGCUGAGAAGGGCUAGAUGCUAUGUGCUGUGCUGCAGUGAGCCUUUGCCAUUAGCAGUCUGCAGUGAGGUUGGCCCUCUGACCACAGGAGGGGAACGCAACAAGAGCUGAAACGCUUUGGAGUUUGAAGGAACAGUAUUUCUGUGCAUCAUUUACAAGCUGGUGAACAAAUGGAUGAGUUGCAAGAGCCAAGCAAGCCUCAGAAAACGGAAGCAGCUUCAGAAGAAAUAAGGUCUUCCUGUAAUUUAGCUAUAAAAAAUAAGCAUGAUCCUUGCACUUGAUUGGGAAGCAGGGAAACAAAUCACAAGUCUUCAAUGCCCUCUAAGGUUUGUGCAUACAGCCCCAGUCUCACUAGGCACAGCACGUCUAAUGUCAACAAUACAAUCAGGCUUCAUGAGAGCGUCGAGACAACUUAAAAGUUGGGUUUGAAUUUUUGUUUAAAUAUUUGAUACUUCUGUCCCAAAGCUAGGUUCACGUCUAAACCAAAUACUUAUCUAGGAAAAAAUCACGGCAUGUAACCUACAUCUUACUAAAAACCUAAAGCAUACAAAGCCUCAUCUAUCUGACAAUUUAUUUUAUUGCAUUUGUGCCAAAACACUGAGGGCAAGGAUAUUCACAUAGUGACUCCUACGAUCUUAACUGCAAAGAAGUUUUCACCUCUGCAAAUCCAGUCUACAGAGUUACAGCACAGAACACAGCACAACCCUCUGUACCAACGGACAGACUGGUUCCCAUCCCUUUUCCUGUUCAGGAGUAACAAGAAAAAGACUCUUUGCCAAAUAGCUAAACCUGUUUAUACUUUGAAAGGAAAGAGAGAGGUGGCAACGUGUUGAAGUCUCUUCUGAUAUCCAGGACCCAGCCACAGUUUGUUUGGCUGGUGACUACAGAGGGGGCUGUGCACGGCCUCCUGGAUCACACCUCCCCUCGCCAGGCUGCAGCUGCAAACGCUCCAACGGUUUUUGGGCAGAAUUCAUUUAUACCUGAUUAACCACUUACAGGAAUGUGAAACGUAGAUGAUUAAGCUACUGAAGUAUGUUCACAAAGUAUGUUUGAGUGCAUGUUUCCAGCCUUAAUAUGCAAAGAGAUUUACUUCUGUCAGAUGCAACUGACAUUAGUAUUACCUUUUUGUUAAAAAAUAUCUAUUAUUUAAGCACAAAGUCUUUACAAGUCGACAGCUCUGUUCUGGGCAACAGUCUUGAUUCCAUGAUUUGAAGAGGUAUCAAACAGGUUAUGACUGCAGUUUCUCAACAGAGGCGUAUAUCCAAGAAAGAACGUCGUAACACACCCUUGCUUUCGAAACAAAAUGCUUUCCUCACCAAGCAUGCUCAGAUGCAGGAAAACAAGUACAGUUAGUGUCAGUGUGCAAUCCAUUUUCCUCAAACUGGAUGGAAACAAAAUGAAUGCAGGAGGACUCUUUCUGAAGGGGAACAUUUUUCAGGAGUACUCGUACCCGUCAGCAUUCACCAAACUUAUCUAUGUAACCGCACAGGUAAUUAUUACUAUCACAAUUUUUUAAAAAGAGGGUUUAAUUUCAAACAAUUCAAGAAAAACACUUUACACUUCGUCAUUUCACAAUCAGAUGAAAGUCUCCAACUUGGAAAUGUUACGGUACACAAAGUGCACUGGAAGGCAAAAGCUCUCUCUUGCUCAGACACCUUCACCCACAGCCUGGUACCCAGACAGACAGGCCUACAGAGAAAUACCCAGUACAAGGAGCAGUGGGAAGGGGAGAGGAAACAAACGUGGGGGCAGGGGAGAAGACACUCAGUGCUGUUUCUUUAAGGCUCCCCCAGUCGUCUCUAUUGGACAGAGCGUUAUAGAGACAGAAAGGAAUCAAAAACUCUGUGGUGAAGUUUCCCUUUAAGCUCGAGUGCUCUACAAAUGCUCUUAGAGACAACGUGAUGCUUUUAAAGUCACCGAGCUUUGUGAUACAGCAGCUUCAGCCAUAUUUCCCAGUCAUUUUAGUCAAAAAAACCUUUGAUCUUCCACCGUGACAUCUAGACUAUGCCUUACACAAGCAUCAAAAUAAACGAGAUGCUCUUAAUAUGCAAUAUGGACAGAAACUCCUAAAAAUCACUCAGCAUUGCAAGUUCUCUGUGCCAACACACUUUUGCUCAAAUUUACCAACAGGUAACAAUACAAUACAACUUAGAAGAGACAUACAAAAAAUAGCACAAGUUUCAUGAGUGCAAGCUCUGCGCCCAGAUUUCAUGAGCUCUCCAGUGCAGUACUCUAAAAAUAAACGUUUCUUGACCAAAUUAGCCUUCAGAAACACUGCAAGUGCUGUACGCUCACGCCAGUUUUUCCAGUCUCAAGAACCUGCUCCGGGGUCUCAACUCCUGUCAGCUCCCUGGCUCUUUCAUGCUUGUCCUCCACGACAUUUGUUCCACGCUAUCUCUGAACCCAACGUGGAGCAGCAACGCCCAUUCAGAGAGAAUAAUUAGCUGAAGGUUUGUCUGAAAGCUUCAGUCUCACCAACCGCUUGCAGCAUUGCAUCUAUUUUCAUUAUACACGGUCUAGCUUGAGAAACGCCACAUGAUAAGCCUUGGAAACACCUCUUUAAUGAUAAAAGAACUGAAAAAAAGUGGUAAGGAAAUACAGAAAUUCUGCCAGGUAAGGACACCAGGGUAACACGACCUUUUAACUCUGUUCCAUAAGGAACAAGAUAGGAGAAGGCCCAUUAAGAGCAACAUGAGCUUGGCCCUAUAAGCAAUGCACGGGGGCACAAGUCAGUUUUACUUUCACGGCCUUCCCCCCGUACAGAAACGUACGAAAUAAAAAAAACCAGCGCCGGCUUCACACCUGGAAAAACCUUCAGAUGAACAGAAGCCAUCCGGUAUACGCGGGACCAAACAAGCAGAACACGGGAGAAGAGAACGACUCAGCGAGGGGCGGGGUGCAGCGGGACGGGACGGGACGAUGACCUCAUGGGGCCUUUUCUAUCUUUAGUCGCCGGGCGCUGCGGAAGGUCCCGUCCCGUCCCGCCCCGCCACACGCAGCCGGGCUGGGCGCGGCGCGCACCUGCGGAGCCCCGAACUCAGCGCAUCCCCAGCGCCAGCGGGCGUCAGCCACCGCUCCGUCCCGCGGCACCGCUCAGC